rnacentral:misc_RNA from 1 species
CCGGUGAUUAGCAGCGUACACGAGGGGUAGCGAAGCAGUGCGAGAAGGAUGAAAAAUAAAAGAAAGAACGAAGAAAUUCUAGCCGAUUGUUCGGCAUGAAUGAGGCACCUUGCUCACUGGCGGCGGUCUUUUCCCCCUUGGUCGCAGGUCCCGUAAAUUUUCCAUAAGGACAAUCGGCACCGGGGUAAAAAGAUAAUCCGAUGAGUCACCACUGAUCUCGCCUUUCCCGUGUUUUCGAGCAGCGACGUCUGACUCGAGAAUUUUUCUUUGUCAGUUACUCUACCCCCUGACGGAUAACUUCGCGAAAAGGUGAAUACAGGUGAAUAUUCCUU